GGGGGAGGGGCCUCAAUGACCCUGGGGGAAGGGCCUCAGUGAGAGCCGUACUCUGUGUACAAUGAGGUUGAAUGUCAUUCACAGAGAUGAUGAGUGACAUGACGCAUCCUAUAGUCCUCCUGAGUUGGCUGUUUCUCCUGUCCCCAAGUCAGUGUGGAGCAGCAGGCCCCAUAGUGCUUCAGCCCAGACAGCUCCUCACCCUUCCUGGUAACACCACCACCUCCAGUCCAGUCACCCUGCAGUGCUCCCUGGGUCCAGGCUUCAGCAUGCCCAGCUACACCAUGAUGUGGUACCGACAGGUCCGCUAUGGAGGCCCAGUGGAGUUCCUCAUUAAGGAGUACGAGAAAACCCAGGGGCGAUACAAAGAGGACCUGGACACAUCGGGGAACAGGUUCAUCCUGCAGAUUUCUGAGCUGGUUGUGGAGGACAGUGGUGUCUACUACUGCGCUGCUAGUCACGGUGAAACAACAGCCUGAAGAGCAGUACAAAUACAACACUCCUCUGUUUACUAUACAUGACGUGGUGUCUGAGU